CCAGCGUCAGGUACCUGAUAAAGUCGAGCGGAUGACGGGAGCUUGCUCCUUGAUUCAGCGGCGGACGGGUGAGUAAUGCCUAGGAAUCUGCCUGGUAGUGGGGGACAACGUUUCGAAAGGAACGCUAAUACCGCAUACGUCCUACGGGAGAAAGCAGGGGACCUUCGGGCCUUGCGCUAUCAGAUGAGCCUAGGUCGGAUUAGCUAGUUGGUGAGGUAAUGGCUCACCAAGGCGACGAUCCGUAACUGGUCUGAGAGGAUGAUCAGUCACACUGGAACUGAGACACGGUCCAGACUCCUACGGGAGGCAGCAGUGGGGAAUAUUGGACAAUGGGCGAAAGCCUGAUCCAGCCAUGCCGCGUGUGUGAAGAAGGUCUUCGGAUUGUAAAGCACUUUAAGUUGGGAGGAAGGGCAGUAAGCUAAUACCUUGCUGUUUUGACGUUACCGACAGAAUAAGCACCGGCUAACUCUGUGCCAGCAGCCGCGGUAAUACAGAGGGUGCAAGCGUUAAUCGGAAUUACUGGGCGUAAAGCGCGCGUAGGUGGUUCGUUAAGUUGGAUGUGAAAGCCCCGGGCUCAACCUGGGAACUGCAUCCAAAACUGGCGAGCUAGAGUAUGGUAGAGGGUGGUGGAAUUUCCUGUGUAGCGGUGAAAUGCGUAGAUAUAGGAAGGAACACCAGUGGCGAAGGCGACCACCUGGACUGAUACUGACACUGAGGUGCGAAAGCGUGGGGAGCAAACAGGAUUAGA
rnacentral:rRNA from 1 species